CGUAGGCGUUGAGCGUACGCUGGCAGAGUGCGGAGCGGACACAAUCGUCUUUGGUGAAGCGCACCACGCCGAUCAUGUCAUCCUCUUUGAAACGCGCCAGCGCAUCGCUCAGGCCGGACUGCACGCCGGCGGGCAAAUCGCACUGGGUAAUAUCGCCAUUGACGAUAACGGUCACGUUCUCCCCGAGGCGGGUC
rfam:Cronobacter sp. DJ34 Bact_A5_9, whole genome shotgun sequence.